rnacentral:ribozyme from 1 species
GUUGGACGAUCCGAUCCCGCAGCGUUCGGAAACAACCAAACAUAUCU